rnacentral:rRNA from 1 species
GAUGAACGCUGACAGAAUGCUUAACACAUCAGCGAUGGAUUGGUGGCGGACGGGUGAGUAACGCGUAAAGAACUUGCAUCACAGGUAGGGACAACAUUUGUAAACGAAUGCUAAUCCCUAAUCCUGUGAGAGAGCUUUGCGUCCAAUUAGCUAGUGGGAGAGGUAACGGCUCACCAAGGCGAGGAUGGGUAGCCGGCCUGAGAGGGUGAUAGGCCACAAGGGGACUGAGACACGGCCCUUACGCCUACGGGAGGCAGCAGUGGGGAAUAUGGGACAAUGGACCAAAGUCUGAUCCAGCAAUUCGGUGUGCACGAUGAAGUUUUCGGAAUGUAAAGUGCUUUCAGUUUGGAAGCGGUACCCACAGAAGAAGUGACGGCUAAAUACGUGCCAGCAGCCGCGGUAAUUC